UGGAAAAUAAAUGUUGUGAGAGGAGUACAAUGAUGUGAAGUUAUGAAUGAUUAUUUGUCGGAAAUGGUUCUUGCUGUCAGUCACAAUCAGAGAAGAUUGAAUCUCAUUGUCUCUUAUUUACUAGUAAAUGGAAUGUUAGUUGUUUCCACUAUGUUCAUCCAAUACUAACCAUAUGUGUAGGUACUUAUAUUUCACGCCAUAACUUUUCCUUUUCUUCUUCUGCUUUUCCUUCAAUGGAUAGUAGAGUUAGAAAGGAACACAUUAACUAGCUAAUUAGUCAUGUUUUACUUAAUUAUGAAAUCUUCAACUUUAUUGUGCUUGAUAAAUGAUAUGCACUAAAUUUUGUUAGUACUAUAUUGUGAACGAGAUUGUAUAAUGUGUAGAUAUGUGGUAGGGGAGCUUUAUUAGUGUUGUCAUAUGAUCAUAACUCUAGGUUCUUUCAUGAAUUGGGUGUGGGAAUAUGUUGUUGAUACUUGUUUAAUGAUGUGUAUGUGAUAUGUGUUCUAUACCUUAGAAUUCGUUACACUAUUUACAUUGUGUGUUGUUUAUCACCCCUUCUGUUUGAAUGUUGUCUUUAUAUGUGCAUCGUGCAGAUACUCAGGAGUAAUAUUGCUGAAGUAAGUGGAAGGUAGCUCUUGGAGUGGCUUCCCGUAGUUUGUCAUUUUCUUUAGUAGGGUCUUACUCUAAUCAAUGUAACAUCAGGUUGGAAAUGUUUGCUUUCACUUAUUUUGUUUUGUUGAAGUUGUUAUUUAUGUUUGAUGAGAUUUCGACAUUGUGAUGAGUUGAAUAUAUAACUCUUUUUGUGGUGUUAUGAAAGUUGAAGUUUCUGAGACUAAACAUCUUGAUAUGAAAGUUGAAUUUUGUGAAAAGUGGUAUGCAACCAUUCAUGGAGUUAGGAUGAGGCGUGAGAGAGUCUUAAGGUUUUGUUUUGAGAGAGACGGUUGUGUUCUGUCCUGAAUGAGCAAACAGUUUCUAAAAUAUAUAUUAUACUUUUCACAGCGGUUGAUAUAAACGACCGUGAUAA
rnacentral:lncRNA from 1 species